GAGGAUAUAGCUCAAUGGUAGAGUGCAUGCUUAGUAUGCACAAGGUCCUGGGUUCGAUCCUCAGUACCUCCA
rnacentral:tRNA from 1 species